UACAGAGAGAUUUAGAGUAACUAUAUAUGUAUAUAAUUUUAUUUCAUUUGUUUUGUUUUCCUCUCAUUUUGGAGAAUUAAGUUCAACAUAUGAGUUAUCUACAGUGACUAAUGGGCUUGUUGCAGAGCUCUGUAGUGAUGUGAGAGGAACCAGAAGUGCUGGAUUCUCCUACGGGUCUGUGAGCAGCCUGAGUCACACUUACUCUGUUGUCGAAAACCAGUCACCUAAAUAUUUUGAGUCUGUCCCUCAUUUGCAAAGUGGGAAAUAUACUUUGUAAUGAACAGGGUCAUGAUGAAGGGCAAAGAUGAUUAUGAAAAUGCCUUGCGAAGGAAUAAAUCUGAACACAGAAAUGUUGUUUCCCAAUUCCAUUGGAACAUCUAUCUUUACUUCCUACUGAACUAUGAAGGAAUGAAAAGAACAUAAGCAUUUACUUGCAGAUUGUGAUUGUCACAAAUGGGAAAGACCAAUAAAGUUGGAGCUUAUAUACAAAUCCAAAAUGAAAUGACCAAAUCCUGCGGGAGAAGAUGACAUUGCACAAACAUGAAAGAAGGCGAUUAAUUCAGCUUAAGUUUAACUGGAUAUAAGAUACCAUGAGAUGACCCUGCCAUCCAGACAAGCACAAUCUUCAGCCUUCGAGAAACUUUGGACUAACAGUGACUAUCGAGUUAAUAAAUUUAAAG